GGCCUUUCAGCAAGGCGGGUAGGCAGAGACAGGAGGGAGGCAGUGCUGAGGGGCAGCCAGAACCUGCAGCUCACCAGGGAGGCACAUCCCAGGACACGUGUGUGAGGCAGGUUCCAAGCAUCGUGGAUGGGCUGACAGGCCCCUUUCAUCACAAGACUGUGAAACGUGUCCAGGCAGCAUUCCUUCCUCUCCCUAGGACUUCCCUUACAGCCUACCAGCACGGCUUCUCCAUGGGGAAGAGCCCUCACCCACUGCCUGUCACAGGGUCCUGGGGUGCAGCUAUGGGGUGAGAGGAACCAAAACUGAGAGUCUGGGGCUCAUGGAAUCCACCCCCUGCUUAUUAGGCACAGACGGCAUACUCAGUGCCUCCACAGUGACGGUCACUGUCCUUUAUGUUCUGUGGCUUGCCUGCUGCACACGGGGCCCUGUGAUCUCAUAUCAGUUGUCCCCACCUGUGCAACUUCCGCACCUUGCACAUUCACAAUGCUACCUCACUGACUUGGGGUACUUAGAGACUCCAAAUCACCCCCCUCUGCACAGUCUCCACAGGCUGGCCAGACUCCCAGGGCAGGGAGUCUG
rnacentral:lncRNA from 10 species